GACGAACGCUGGCGGCGUGCUUAAUACAUGCAAGUCAACGACUUUUAGAGUAGCAAUAUUUUAAAGGGAGUGGCGCACGGGUGAGUAACACGUAGGUAAUCUGCCUUCAGGACUGACACAACUCGUCGAAAGACGGGCUAAUAUCAGAUAAUGCAGCGGCUUCGCAUGGAGACAGUUGUUAAAGUACAAGCGCCUGAAGAUGAGCCUGCGGUCCAUUAGCUAGUUGGUAGAGUAACAGCCUACCAAGGCAACGAUGGAUAGCUGGUCUGAGAGGAUGAUCAGCCACACUGGAACUGAGACACGGUCCAGACUCCUACGGGAGGCAGCAGUAAGGAAUAUUGCUCAAUGGCCGAAAGGCUGAAGCAGCAACGCCGCGUGAAGGAUGAAUGGCCUUUGGCCUGUAAACUUCUGUAAAAGGGAAAACAGUCAGGCAUGUCCUGAUUUGAUUGUACCUUUGAAGUAAGCCCCGGCUAACU
rnacentral:rRNA from 1 species